rnacentral:rRNA from 1 species
CAGAACGAACGCUGGCGGCGCGUCUUAAGCAUGCAAGUCGAGUGGUAAGGGUAGCUUGCUACCCCUAGAACGGCGGACUGGUGAGUAACACGUGGGUGACGUACCCUUAUGACCGGGAUAGCUGGUAGAAAUAUCAGAUAAUACCGGAUACGAUCCUUAACGUCAGAGGUUAAGGAGGAAAGAUGCUCCGGCAUCGCAGAAGGAACGGCCCGCGGCCCAUUAGCUAGUUGGUGAGGUAAAGGCCCACCAAGGCAGUGAUGGGUAUCCGGCCUAAGAGGGUGGACGGACACAUUGGGACUGAGAUACGGCCCAGACUCCUACGGGAGGCAGCAGCUAAGAAUAUUCCGCAAUGGGCGAAAGCCUGACGGAGCGACGCCGCCGUGGACGAUGAAGGCCGAAAGGUUGUAAAGUCCUUUUGAACCUGACGAAUAAGCAGCGCAGGAAAUGGCGGUGCGGUGACGGUAGGGUUUGAAUAAGCAACGGCUAAUUACGUGCCAGCCGCCGC